rnacentral:rRNA from 1 species
GCGAGUGAGCGGGAAAGCUCAAAUUUAAAAUCUGGCGGUCUCCGGCCGUCCGAGUUGUAAUUUAGAGAAGCGUUAUCCGUGCUGGACCGUGUAUAAGUCUCCUGGAAUGGAGCGUCAUAGAGGGUGAGAAUCCCGUCUUUGACACGGACUACCAGUGCAUUGUGAUGCGCUCUCGACGAGUCGAGUUGUUUGGGAAUGCAGCUCAAAAUGGGUGGUAAAUGCCAUCUAAAGCUAAAUAUUGGCGAGAGACCGAUAGCGAACAAGUACCGUGAGGGAAAGAUGAAAAGAACUUUGGAAAGAGAGUUAAACAGUACGUGAAAUUGUCGAAAGGGAAACGGUUGCAGUCAGUCGCGUCCGCCGGGGAUCAACCUUGCUUUUGCUUGGCGUAUUUCCCGGUGGAUGGGUCAGCAUCAGUUUUGACCGCAGUUGAAAGGCUGGAGGAAUGUGGCACCUUCGGGUGUGUUAUAGCCUCCUGUCAUAUGCUGCGGUUGGGACUGAGGAACUCAGCACGCCGCAAGGCCGGGAUUCGUCCACGUUCGUGCUUAGGAUGCUGGCAUAAUGUCUGUAACCGACCC